CGUAGGGUCCAAGCGUUGUCCGGAUUUACUGGGCAUAAAGAGCGCGUAGGCGGCUCGUUAAGUGUGAAGUGAAAUCUCUAGGGCUCAACCCAGAAACUGCUUUACAUACUGGCGAGCUGGAGUGAUGCAGAGGUUUGUGGAAUUCCUGGUGUAACGGUGAAAUGUGUUGAUAUCAGGAGGAACACCCAUGGCGAAGGCAGCAAACUGGGCAUCAACUGACGCUGAGGCGCGAAAGCGUGGGUAGCAAACAGGAUUAGAUACCCUGGUAGUCCACGCCCUAAACGAUGGAUACUAGGCGUAAGAGGUAUCGACCCCUCUUGUGCCGCAGCUAACGCAUUAAGUAUCCCGCCUGGGGAGUACGGCCGCAAGGUUG
rnacentral:rRNA from 1 species